UAAAGUUUCUGACUUUCCUUAUGCCAAGUAGCUGAGAAAGGUGGUGGGUGGUGGUUUUCCAGCAUUCAUGGACAUGUCCUGAUACUCCCUUUUCCUUGCUAACCAUUCCCUAGGCUGGAGUCAAGAGAGGGCAAACCAGAAUGCCCAGCUUUGGGUCUGACUCCAAGAAGACUGGCUUGGAGGAAAACUUAGCAGGCAAAACAGGCUUCUGAGGCACAGAACAGUGAGACUACAGCAUUGUUGAACUGGUGACAGUCCCUGCUGAAGAAACACCUCAGCUGUAUAUAUGGCCAAAAUAAAGAUCACACCUCCUAAAGGAAAAAUGCUGGGCAGACCAGAGAUGGAGAUGGCAAAGCAAGAACAGAAAUGCUGCCAGUGAACAGGAAGCAGGACAACCUGACUAGGCCAGAGUUCUCUGCCUCAGGGAGCCUCAAGUUUCAGGAGUUCAUACCCACCCCCUUCACCUAGGAUCCCCGCUGCAGUGAGUAACUGAGCCUGGACCCAAACCAAUCCUGGUGUGCAGGUGGCUGAGAAUCUGGUGAAGACAAGGAGCACUCUUAUCAGCCACUUUCUUUCAGCAGAGUAGUGAAAAGUAGCCUAGCAAAAACAAAAUUCAUAUUUGUAUUGUGUAUGUGUAAAGUACUUCAGGGUUUCCAAAUGGGAUCUUCUCACAGCCACCCUAUCAAGUAGCAAGAGUGGUGAUUUCAAGGAUGAGUAAUAGAAUAAUGUGCCUUGUGUCCCAGGGCACAGAGUUAAGGCUGGGUUAGGAUUCAUUUCUUGAAAGUUUGAUUUCAAGUUUUUUAUACUGUCAAUAUUUCCCUCAGUCAUAUUUUAUCACCUUGAUUUGCAUGGAAGAAUCAAGUCAAAAGAUACUUCCUAUAGAAAGCACCAUUAACUGCCUUCAGAUCUGAUACUUUGAUUAGGUUCACAGUUUUAAGUUGGAAAAAAAGAAAUGGAUUAUAGUCUGAAUCCACAUUUUCAAAUGUAUUGAAGUAGCCAUAUAUGGUGACACACACCUGCAAUCCCAGCAAUUUGGGAGGCUGUCUAAAAAGUUAAAAAAGGACUGGGAAUGUAGCUGAGUGGUAAAGUGCCCCUGGGAUCAAUCCCUAGUACCAACAACAAAAAGAACUAAAAUUAACUGCCCAAUGACAGUUUACCAAGUGCCAUACUGAAAGUAAGACACUAAAAUCACAUUUUGCUCAUUUUAGAAAUGUGGGAGGUUAGCCAGAUAUGGUGGCAUGUGCCUAUAAUCCCAGCAACUACACAGGCUGAGGCAGGAUUAUAAAUUUGAGGCCAGUCUUCACAACAUAGUGAGACUAUCUCCAAAUUUUUUAAAUAAAUAGGGCCGGGGUAUAGCUCAGUGGUAAAGCACUCUAGGUUCAAACAUCAGGAACCACACACGACUACCACCCCCACCUCCCCCACACACACACACCCACCAAAAAGUAUCUUAGCCAGGUACAGUGGUGCCUGCCUGUAAUUUCAGCUAGUUGGGAGCCUGGAGCAAAAGGAUCUCAAGUUCGAGACCAAUCUGAGCUACUUAGCAAGAAGACCUGUAUCAAAAUUAAAAGAUCUAAGGGGCUGGGGAUAUAUAUAUAUAUAGCUCAGCUGGUAGAGUGCUUGCCUUGUAUGCACAAGGCCCUGGGUUCUAAUCCCCGGCACCACUAAAUAAAUAAAUAAAAAGAUCUGGGGGUAUAGUUAAAUGGUAAAACACCUCUCUCUGGGUUUAAUCCCCAGUAGCAU
rnacentral:lncRNA from 1 species